rnacentral:rRNA from 1 species
UACGGAGGGUGCAAGCGUUAUCCGGAUUCACUGGGUUUAAAGGGUGCGUAGGUGGGCAGGUAGUCAGUGGUGAAAUCUCCGGGCUUAACCCGGAACUGCCGUUGAUACUAUCUGUCUUGAAUAUCGUGGAGGUGAGCGGAAUAUGUCAUGUAGCGGUGAAAUGCUUAGAUAUGACAUAGAACAUCAAUUGCGAAGGCAGCUCGCUACACGGUUAUUGACACUGAGGCACGAAAGCGUGGGGAUCAAACAGG